rnacentral:rRNA from 1 species
AGUGAACGCUGGCGGCAGGCCUAACACAUGCAAGUCGAACGAGGGGCGGACGGGUGAGGAAUACCUCGGAAUCUACUCUGUCGUGGGGGAUAACGACGGGAAACUUACGCUGAUACCGCAUACGAUUGAAUGAGCCGAUGUCGGAUUAGCUAGUUGGUGGGGGAAAGGCCCACCAAGGCGACGAUCCAUAGCUGGUCUGAGAGGAUGAUCAGCCACACUGGAACUGAGACACGGUCCAGACUCCUACGGGAGGCAGCAGUGGGGAAUAUUGGACAAUGGGCGCAAGCCUGAUCCAGCCAUACCGCGUGGGUGAAGAAGGCCUUCGGGUUGUAAAGCCCUUUUGUUGGGAAAGCGGUACCCAAAGAAUAAGCACCGGCUAACUUCGUGCCAGCCGCCGCGGUAAUUC